rfam:Myotis davidii contig324459, whole genome shotgun sequence.
AUACUUACCUGGCAGGGGAGAGAUGAUCACAAAGGUGGUUUUCCCAGGCGAGGCUGAUCUACUGUGCUCCAGAUGCGCUGACCCCUGCGAUUUCCCCAAAUGUGGGAAACUCGACUGCAUCAUUUGUGGUAGUGGGGGCCUGCAUUCAUGCUCUCCCUUA